CAUACCCGGAAUGGCAGGUCAACAUGCUAUUUUCACCAGCGCGCUCUGGUAUAUCGAGUUUGUAAUAUUUCUUAUUUUAUUCGUAUUGUUUUUCCAUUUGUUCCUUUAUAUGGCUGGCUUAAAUUAUCCAAAGUAUAACCCUCUCUACGAUUACUCGAAGAAAUAUUUGGCUGACGGCACGUGGCUAAUACGUAAUUAACGUAAUACAUCAUCCGAAGAAAUGAGUCCGUUGCCGGACCAUGGAAACCGGGAAGUAAAAGUUAAGGAGUAAUGAUAAAUAAGGAGAGGCCGAUCUGCUGCGACGAGAGCUGCUGGUGGUUUAGUGGACUCUUGUGUGCCACGUUGGCCGUAAUCGUGGUACUCGUUGGAUGCUGGCUCUUUUUUCGGUAACUGCCAGUUAUCACGGAAGCAGAUUCUUGGUAAAUUAUUUAUUAUUUUUCGACUUUUACGACAAAUUGUGUUGAACAUUGAAGAUGGUAACAAAGAGUUUAAGUCCC